UGGAGCGAGGCAGGGUCCUCGUGGGCAGUGCAAAGAUUGAGCUGGGGGUGGGCAGAGUGGACAGAAUAGGGCAGGGUGCGGAUCCAUGGCCCUACGCAUUCUGGGCCAGGUCUGUGCUGCUUCACGCUGUCGACCUGUGAAUGUUGCCCGGUAGCGCAGCCCAGAUCCCUUUUCUCUACUCCUUUUGACCCUGCACCCAGAGUGGUGGUUGCGAUCUGCUACCGUGACCUCAGCCCUCAUUCCAAACUGUGGCACCAUUCGUUCCACAAGCUCCACACCUCUGGCCCCUUAGAGGAAGGAGGUCCCAGAAUAGCUGGGAAAUUACGAAAACAGCCUCACUGCACGGGUUGGUGAAUGCUGUGAUGCCAUUGUAUGAUGGACGGUGAUGUUGAAACCAGUCGGGAAUGACCACCCCAUCCGGAGAGAGACGGGGUCUUGCUCUAUCACCCAGGCUGGAUUGCAGUGUCGUUGAUCAUAGCUCAAGCAAUUUUCCUGCCUCAGCCUCCCAAAGUGCUGUGAUUACAGGUGUGAGCCACUGGACCUGGCCUCUUCAUAUCUUAUAACGAAAAGCACCAAGGAUUCUCUUUUGUUGAAUUUGUGUUGGCAGAGUUUGGUCAGAUGAAGACUGGGUGGAGAAUUUUGCUGGGAAGUGGAUAAAGAGGAAGAUGGUUGAGACCUCCCAAAGCAGAAAGCCAGGAGGGAGAAUGAAAGUUCAUGCUUCCAGAGGAGAGGCUGCUAUUUGCCACAUAGGGAAUUUCUGAGGUGUACAUGGACAUCGAGAUUGGGAACAAGCCAGCUGGCUGCAUCCAAAUGCUCCUGCGUUCCGAUGUCGUGCCCAUGACAGCAGAGAAUUUCCACUACCCGCGCACCCAUUUAAAGGACUCAGCUUCAAGGGAAGCAGCUUCCACCGCAUUAUCCCCCGGUUUAUGUGCCAGGGCAGUGAUUUCACAAACCACAACGGCACCAGGGGCAAGUCCAUCUACAAGAAGAAGUUUGAUGAUGAAAACUUUAUCUUCAAACACACAGGACCAGGUAGGAACUACUCAUCUGUGGUGACAAAGGAGGCUGGGCAAGGGCAGCUGGCUGUGCAGGAUGGAAGGAUGAGCCGUGGUUCUGGCUGAGAAACAGGGAGUCUGGAGGAGACCCAGCCACCAGACACAGGAGGACCGUUCAGCCUUGCUCGGGUGGAGUUAACUUUGGGCUUUGAAAAGCUUUUUUGUUUUUUAUUUUGGCUUAUUUCAGUUCCCAUUUGUCUCCUUUCAUUAAAAGAGGAAGACGCAUAAAUG